GAUGAACGCUGGCGGCGUGCCUAAUACAUGCAAGUAGAACGCUGAAGGAAGGAGCUUGCUCUUUCCGGAUGAGUUGCGAACGGGUGAGUAACGCGUAGGUAACCUGCCUGGUAGCGGGGGAUAACUAUUGGAAACGAUAGCUAAUACCGCAUAACAGUAGAUGUUGCAUGAUAUCUACUUAAAAGGUGCAAUUGCACCACUACCAGAUGGACCUGCGUUGUAUUAGCUAGUUGGUGAGGUAACGGCUCACCAAGGCGACGAUACAUAGCCGACCUGAGAGGGUGAGCGGCCACACUGGGACUGAGACACGGCCCAGACGCCUACGGGAGGCAGCAGUAGGGAAUCUUCGGCAAUGGACGGAAGUCUGACCGAGCAACGCCGCGGGAGGGAAGAAGGUUGUCGGAUCGUAAAGCUCGGUUGUAAGAGAAGAACGAGUGUGAGAGUGGAAAGUUCACACUGUGACGGUAGCUUACCAGAAAGGGACGGCUAACUACGUG
rnacentral:rRNA from 1 species